AUUCCAGCUCCAAUAGCGUAUAUUAAAGUUGUUGCAGUUAAAAAGCUCGUAGCUGGAUUUCGGGUGAGGAUGACCGGUCUGCCGUUGCGGUACGCACUGGACGUUUUCAUCUUGUUGUCGGGGACGCGCUUCUGGGCUUCACUGUUCGGGACGCGGAGUCGGCGCUGUUACUUUGAAAAAAUUAGAGUGUUCAAAGCAGGCAAUCGCUCUGAAUACAUUAGCAUGGAAUAACGCUAUAGAACUCUGGUCCUAUUGUGUUGGUCUUCGGGACCGGAGUAAUGAUUAAGAGGGACAGUUGGGGGCAUUCGUAUUUCAUUGUCAGAGGUGAAAUUCUUGGAUUUAUGAAAGACGAACUUCUGCGAAAGCAUUUGCCAAGGAUGUUUUCAUUA
rnacentral:rRNA from 1 species